rnacentral:rRNA from 1 species
UACGUAGGGGGCUAGCGUUGCUCGGAAUUACUGGGCGUAAAGCGCACGUAGGCGGAUCUUUAAGUCAGGGGUGAAAUCCUGGAGCUCAACUCCAGAACUGCCUUUGAUACUGAGGACCUUGAGUUCGGGAGAGGUGAGUGGAACUGCGAGUGUAGAGGUGAAAUUCGUAGAUAUUCGCAAGAACACCAGUGGCGAAGGCGGCUCACUGGCCCGGUACUGACGCUGAGGUGCGAAAGCGUGGGGAGCAAACAGG